AGUCACGCGUAAACGAUGAGUGCUAAGUGUUAGGGGGUUCCGCCCUUUAGUGCUGCAGCUAGCGCAUUAAGCACUCCGCGUGGGGAGUACGACCGCAAGGUUGAAACUCAAAGGAAUUGACGGGGGCCCGCACAAGCGGUGGAGCAUGUGGUUUAAUUCGAAGCAACGCGAAGAACCUUACCAGGUCUUGACAUCCUUUGACAACUCUAGAGAUAGAGCUUUCCCUUCGGGGACAAAGUGACAGGUGGUGCAUGGUUGUCGUCAGCUCGUGUCGUGAGAUGUUGGGUUAAGUCCCGCAACGAGCGCAACCCUUAUUGUUAGUUGCCAUCAUUCAGUUGGGCACUCUAGCGAAACUGCCGGUGACAAACCGGAGGAAGGUGGGGAUGACGUCAAAUCAUCAUGCCCCUUAUGACCUGGGCUACACACGUGCUACAAUGGACAGUACAAUGAGCAGCGACACGGCGACGUGAAGCGAAUCUCAUAAAGCUGUUCUCAGUUCGGAUUGUAGGCUGCAACUCGCCUACAUGAAGCCGGAAUCGCUAGUAAUCGCGGAUCAGCACGCCGCGGUGAAUACGUUCCCGGGCCUUGUACACACCGCCCGUCACACCACGAAAGUUUGUAACACCCAAAGUCGGUGAGGUAACCUUCGGGAGCCAGCCGCCUAAGGUGGGAUAGAUGAUUGGGGUGAAGUCGUAACAAGGUAACCA
rnacentral:rRNA from 1 species